rnacentral:ncRNA from 1 species
CAAUGCUCAAGCUGUCACGGCAAAAUCCGUGGCCGGGUUUAGCAGCCCGAACC